rfam:Gossypium raimondii Chr13_contig_43, whole genome shotgun sequence.
UAUUAAAUAUUUCGUCCAUAUUUACUGUUAAAAACUGACAUGACUGACUAAAUAAUUAAAUAAUUAUACGUGACGUGCCACAUGUAACUCAUGUUGAUAUACAUGGAUCAAUUUUUAACAGUAAAAAUGGAAUAAUUUGUUAAAA